rnacentral:rRNA from 1 species
AUGUCAGAUGUGGCUGAAGAGCAAACCACCGAAGUUGUACCGAUAGUUCAUCAUUUGGUGUACUUGCUUUUAAAAUUGGUAUUGAUUCUACCAGUGGCAACGGCAAAUGUUGAGAGAGCAUUUUCUGCCAUGACUAUAGUCAAGAGCAAGUUGAGAAAUAAGAUGGGUGAUAGUCUUUUGGAUGAUUGCCUAGUUACAUACAUUGAGAGGGAUGCUUUCUCUGAGGUGAAUGAAGAUGAAAUAAUUGAUACCUUCAUGGCAAUGCAAAAGCGUAGGCCAGAAACAGUCUUUUUGAACUUCUCAAGGUAUGUACUAUUGUAG